UAAGGAACUAGACCUGAAGGUCGAAGGAAGAAAUUCAUUCGUGUUUCGUCAAUUGGCAUGUAUGUUUUAUAUGUUUGACAAUAUUUAUUAAUAUGGAUUGUAAUUUAUUUUACAAUACUGUUAUUGAAUAUUGCGUGUAUCGUAUGUGUAUCAUUUGAUGAACGCGUGCAUUUUUCUUCUGGUAGGACGUUGCGAUCCGUUAGAUUAUCAAUUUAUGUUUUACAGUAUAAGUUCAUUGAUACAUAUAUAAUUUUAUAUUUUAUAUGAUAAUAUUAAUGAUGCUGUAUAUACUGAUUGAUUUUUGACUGACGGUAUAGAAAAUGGUUAAAAGUCGCUGUUUCCUCACUAUACUAUAUUUAUAUAGUAUAUAGAGAGUAGCGUUAGAGGCUAAACAAAUGUAAAUAUUGUGUUAAUGCUAUAAUUGUUGUUUUUCGGAAUAAUGAUUGUAGUAUAUUCGGUAAUCGAUAAUUUUUUAUCAAUUCCGAGCCGUGUUUACAUUGUUAGUUUGGCAAUAUAUCUUUAACUGACUUUAUUAUUAUUAUUUAUUUAAUAAUAAAACCAAUCUGCAACGCUAUAGCUUUGGGUACUUUUAGGACCCGUCUUGAAACACGGACCAAGGAGUCUAGCAUGUACGCAAGCCAUUGGGAUAUUUAAACCUAUAGGCAUAAUGAAAGUAAAAUAUAUUAUAUGUAUAAUAUAAUAAAGGAAGAUGAUUAAUAAUAAUAAUUUAUUAUUAUAAUUAUUAUUUCGCAUUCCUGGGGCGUUUAAAUUUUGUUUUAUUGUUUACAAUUUAAUGAGAUUAUGCGCACCAAGAGUGUACACGCUGGGACCCGAAAGAUGGUGAACUAUGCCUGGUCAGGACGAAGUCAGGGGAAACCCUGAUGGAGGUCCGUAGCGAUUCUGACGUGCAAAUCGAUCGUCGGAACUGGGUAUAGGGCGAAAGAYAAUCSACCACUAGUGGGGG
rnacentral:rRNA from 1 species